CCUACGGGAGGCAGCAGUGAGGAAUAUUGGUCAAUGGGCGCUAGCCUGAACCAGCCAAGUAGCGUGAAGGAUGACUGCCCUAUGGGUUUUAAACUUCUUUUAUAUGGGAAUAAAGUGCAGCAUGUAUACUGCUUUGCAUGUACCUUAUGAAUAAGCAUCGGCUAACUCCGUGCCAGCCGCCGCGGUAAUACGGAGGAUCCGAGCGUUAUCCGGAUUUAUUGGGUUUAAAGGGAGCGUAGGCGGGUUGUUAAGUCAGUUGUGAAAGUUUGCGGCUCAACCGUAAAAUUGCAGUUGAUACUGGCAUGCGUGAGUACAGUAGAGGUAGGCGGAAUUCGUGGUGUAGCGGUGAAAUGCUUAGAUAUCACGAAGAACUCCGAUGGCGAAGGCAGACUGCUGGACUGUAACUGACGCUGAUGCUCGAAAGUGUGGGUAUCAAACAGGAUUAGAUACCCGUGUAGUC
rnacentral:rRNA from 1 species